GACGAACGCUGGCGGCGUGCUUAACACAUGCAAGUCGAACGGUAAGGCCCUUCGGGGUACACGAGUGGCGAACGGGUGAGUAACACGUGGGUGAUCUGCCCUGCACUUCGGGAUAAGCCUGGGAAACUGGGUCUAAUACCGGAUAGGACCACUGCCUGCAUGGGUGGUGGUGGAAAGCUUUUGCGGUGUGGGAUGGGCCCGCGGCCUAUCAGCUUGUUGGUGGGGUGAUGGCCUACCAAGGCGACGACGGGUAGCCGGCCUGAGAGGGUGACCGGCCACACUGGGACUGAGAUACGGCCCAGACUCCUACGGGAGGCAGCAGUGGGGAAUCUUGCGCAAUGGGCGAAAGCCUGACGCGGCAAUGCCGCGUGAGGGAAGACGGCCUUAGGGUUGUAAACCUCUUUCAGCAGGGACGAACACAGACGGUACCUGCAGAAGAAGCCCCGGCUAACCACGUGCCAGCAGCCGCCGUAA
rnacentral:rRNA from 1 species